rnacentral:misc_RNA from 1 species
CGCACAUUGCGCCCUUUGGUAUUCCGAAGGGCAUGCCUGUUCGAGCGUCAUUAUCCACCCUCAAGCCUGGCUUGUUAUUGGAUCUUGAUCGGUAAAACGAUCGAUCUCAAAGAUAAUGGCGGCGUCAUGAUCGACCCCAGGUGCAGCGAGCUUUUAAAGCAUACACUUGAAGUGGUUCAUCAUGUCCCGGCCUGAAUUGUUUCUUGAAACAUUUAUUCAAAGGUUGACCUCGGAUCAGGUAGGAAUACCCGCUGAACUUAA